AAAAUACUCCCUCCGUCCGAAAAUACUUGUCAUCAAAAUGGAUAAAAGGAAAUGUAUCUAGAUGUAUUUUAAUUUUAGAUACAUCUCUUUUUAUCCAUUUUGAUGACAAGUAUUGUCGGACGGAGGGAGUAUUUA
rnacentral:pre_miRNA from 1 species